GACGAACGCUGGCGGCGUGCUUAACACAUGCAAGUCGAACGGAAAGGCCCUGCUUUUGUGGGGUGCUCGAGUGGCGAACGGGUGAGUAACACGUGAGUAACCUGCCCUUGACUUUGGGAUAACUUCAGGAAACUGUGGCUAAUACCGGAUAGGAGCUCCUGCUGCAUGGUGGGGUUGGAAAGUUUCGGCGGUUGGGGAUGGACUCGCGGCUUAUCAGCUUGUUGGUGGGGUAGUGGCUUACCAAGGCUUUGACGGGUAGCCGGCCUGAGAGGGUGACCGGCCACAUUGGGACUGAGAUACGGCCCAGACUCCUACGGGAGGCAGCAGUGGGGAAUAUUGCACAAUGGGCGGAAGCCUGAUGCAGCAACGCCGCGUGCGGGAUGACGGCCUUCGGGUUGUAAACCGCUUUCGCCUGUGACGAAGCGUGAGUGACGGUAAUGGGUAAAGAAGCACCGGCUAACUACGUG
rnacentral:rRNA from 1 species